rnacentral:rRNA from 1 species
GUGCCAGCCGCCGCGGUAAUACGGAGGAUCCAAGCGUUAUCCGGAAUCAUUGGGUUUAAAGGGUCCGUAGGUGGAUAACUAAGUCAGAGGUGAAAUCUUGCAGCUCAACUGUAAAAUUGCCUUUGAAACUGGUUAUCUUGAGUUAUUAUGAAGUAGUUAGAAUAUGUAGUGUAGCGGUGAAAUGCAUAGAUAUUACAUAGAAUACCAAUUGCGAAGGCAGAUUACUAAUAAUUAACUGACACUGAUGGACGAAAGCGUGGGUAGCGAACAGGAUUAGACACCCUGGUAGUCCACGCCGUAAACGAUGGUUACUAGCUGUUUGGACUUCGGUCUGAGUGGCUAAGCGAAAGUGAUAAGUAACCCACCUGGGGAGUACGUUCGCAAGAAUGAAACUCAAAGGAAUUGACGGGGGCCCGCACAAGCGGUGGAGCAUGUGGUUUAAUUCGAUGAUACGCGAGGAACCUUACCAGGGCUUAAAUGUAAGUUGCAUUAGCUAGAGAUAGCUAUUUCUUCGGACCACUUACAAGGUGCUGCAUGGUUGUCGUCAGCUCGUGCCGUGAGGUGUCAGGUUAAGUCCUAUAACGAGCGCAACCCCUGUUGUUAGUUGCCAGCGAGUCAUGUCGGGAACUCUAACAAGACUGCCAGUGCAAAACUGUGAGGAAGGUGGGGAUGACGUCAAAUCUUCACGGCCCUUACGUCCUGGGCUACACCACGUGCCUACAAUGGUAGG